GGAAACCCAGUACGUCAACCUCAAAACCAGGAACCCCGGAGAGAAGAAGACCCACGAGUCAGAAGCAUCUGACGUCAGCGCGUGCCCAGUGUUCUGAAGUGCACUAGGAAGGGGCAGUCUGUGGUGUAAAGAAGGCAGGAGACCCUUGAACAUCAAUCUCCUCUCUAUUUUCCAAGAUCGACAAUGAAAACCCAUCCUCACGAUUCCAAGUUCACCAAAAUAAUCUUUCAUAAGAUCUAGUUGAAGGCUGAGGCAUGCAGCCUCCAGAGUCCAUUCUCCAUUUUCUGUCACUUGUAAUUUCUUACCACUCUGUUAAGUCUAAUACUUCCUAGCCAAGUCAUUCACUGACCCAAUAACUCAAUAGUAUUGAGUCUGCUAGAUUAACAAAUGUAAGUGACGCGGUCAAAUAGUGAAGAUUAAAUCUAUUUCUCAACUUGCUAGGUCCUCUGAAUUCCUUAACAAAUAUGCCAACCGUAGAGAUUCCUGGAAACUACAUGAAUCUUGCAAUCCAGACCUGCCAAUGAUGUAAGUUCCUAGCAAGUCCAGAAAUUCUGAGAAACUGUUACUAACUUACCUGCCCAGUGCAGGAUGUAGGAAGAAGAAUUCCCUUGACGUUAAGCUGGGGCUUCAUGCUUGUGAGGAAUCAAACUACAGCUUACGCAAAAUACACUAAUGGAUGUUUAAUGGAUGCAGGCUGUAGGCCAUCAAGGAAGGAUGGAUAGGAGGUGGCAAGAGACAUUAGAACAGAAGAGGGAAAGAAGGGUUCAGAGGAGAUAAAGGAAGUGGAAAGGUCAAUGGAGAGGCCAAUAGAUCUGGAGACUGAAGCUCACUUUGACCAUCAGCCAAUACCAACAUCUCAAUACUGACUGACACAAGGCAGUUAAGCCUAGUUAGCCUGACAGUGGGCUGCUCACACACAGAAGGACUUGCUCCAUGCCCAUUCUCCGCCCCACCCAUAAGUGAGUCAAUCUCAGUGGCACAUUGGAGGCUGCCUAGUUUAUCAGGAAAGUGCCUAUGCUGGAACCUAAAAUGUUCUCCAUCAACAUGAUGUUAUGGCAGUGUGAUCACCUAGACUAUGAUCCAAUAAUGACUAAUUAAAGCAGCAUACUCCCAGUGGGGACUCAGAUUGCUUCCUAUUUUCCUGCUAUACAAAGCUUCACAUGAACCUGGUACGAAGACAGAAGAUAGGCGAUAUGUAUAUUCUGGGCAGUUGUGUACUUAAAGCAGCUGGCUCCUCUUGAUCACGGUCAGCAUACCAUGAGCUGCCUCUCAGGGGAGUCUAAGUAAGCUCUAGGCCAUUGCCUUGCC
rnacentral:lncRNA from 1 species